rnacentral:rRNA from 1 species
GACGAACGCUGGCGGCGUGCCUAAUACAUGCAAGUCGAGCGGACGAAUCGAAAGCUUGCUUUUGAUUCGUUAGCGGCGGACGGGUGAGUAACACGUGGGCAACCUGCCCUGUAGACGGGGAUAACACCGAGAAAUCGGUGCUAAUACCGGAUAACACGAAAUGUCGCAUGACGUUUCGUUGAAAGACGGCGCAAGCUGUCGCUACAGGAUGGGCCCGCGGCGCAUUAGCUGGUUGGUGAGGUAACGGCUCACCAAGGCGACGAUGCGUAGCCGACCUGAGAGGGUGAUCGGCCACACUGGGACUGAGACACGGCCCAGACUCCUACGGGAGGCAGCAGUAAGGAAUCUUCCGCAAUGGACGAAAGUCUGACGGAGCAACGCCGCGUGAGCGAAGAAGGCCUUCGGGUCGUAAAGCUCUGUUGUUAGGGAAGAACAAGUAACGCAGUAACUGGCGUUACCGUGACGGUACCUAACGAGAAAGCCACGGCUAACUACGUG